rnacentral:rRNA from 1 species
AUGGGCGAAGAAGAUGAAGGACGCGUCGACCGCAUCAGCAGCCUCCCCGACGCCGUCCUCGGCGACAUCAUCUCCCUCCUCCCCGCCGACGAAGGCGCCCGCACCCAAAUUCUCGCUUCCAAGUGGCGCCACCUCUGGCUAUCCGCCCCACUCAACCUCGACUGCGCUGACCUACUAGCCCGUUACAGUGAUCAUGGCAUUGGCGAGCAUGCUGCUGGUGUCGUAUCGCGCAUCCUUUCUUCCCACUCGGGUCCCGGUCGUCGCCUCCGCAUGGAGGGUGACCACUUCGGCCUCGAAGUUGCUACCAAUACUAUGGAUUCCUGGCUCCGGUCCGGCACUCUUGACAACCUGCAGGAGCUCCAGCUUGGAUAUUACUCAACGGAGGCACCGCUGCCGUCCUAUACCUUCCGCUUCGCACCCACCCUCCGUGUUGCCACCAUCAAAAAGUGCAACCUCCCCGACGGCACCAUCCAAGGGCUUCACUUUCCCCUGCUCAAGCAUCUCGGGCUUGAUUAUGUCAGCAUUUCGGAGUGCUCACUGCACAGCCUCAUUGCCGGUUGCCCCGCUCUCGACUGCUUGCUGAUGUUACAAAGCAUUGACUUCCGCUGCCUUCGGAUCAACUCCCGUACCCUUAGGAGCAUUGGUGUUGAUAAUGACAAUAGUGUUUACCCAAAUCGUGUCCAUUUAGAGGAACUCAUCGUCGAGAAUGCCCCUAGUCUUGAGAAGUUGCUCCGUCUUCAUUACGGCACUGGUCUGCAUGUAUCUGUAGUUUCAGCGCCUCAAUUGGAGACAAUAGGCUACCUUUCUGAUGGUGAUUACUGGUUUCAAGAUAAUCCCUACAGCAAACUCGUGUUUGGCUCCACAAUUAUUCAGGGAUUGCACGUUGACAAGCUGGCAAUGGUGAUCCUCACAGUAAAGACUUUAGCUGUCCAAAUGAAAACACUAUGUUUGGAUACGGUUAUUCAGUUGAUGACAUGCUUUCCAUGCUUGGAGAUGUUGUACAUUCAGAUUAAGGCAAGUAUGUCAAGGCCAAGCAAUUUGUGGGGUCGCAAACACCCGGAUCUGAUCCAAUGUCUUGAUAUCCGUCUGAAGAAAAUAGUGUUGGACUCGUAUCGUGGCAUCAAGUCCCAAGUUAACUUUGUUACUUUCUUUGUAUUGAAUGCCAGAAUGCUAGAGCUGUUGAUACUCGAGGUUCUUUCUGAACAUUACAAUCAGGAGUUCUUGGCAGAACAACGUACAGAGCUUCAGCUGGAGAAAAGGGCUUCAAUAGGUGCUCGGAUUCAUUUUACAACUCGUAAAUGUGUCCGCAGGCCCAAGGAUAUCAAACAUGUCCGAGAUUUGGAUUCAGUUGACCCAUUCUCAGUAGAGUGCUGA